AGCCUUCCGUAUCCGUGCUGAGAUUUCGUCAAACACCAGACCACAAGGGCUGAUGAAACUUCGACACGCUCAACU
rfam:Schistosoma curassoni strain Dakar, Senegal genome assembly, scaffold: SCTD_scaffold0002436